GCACGUGCUGCUGUCCUGCUCCUCGCUCUGCGGGUCGGGGGGCACUCGGUGCUACAGCAUGGCAGUGGAAAUCCAGAUGGGUUCUCUGCUGGUUUGGGACUUGUCUCUACACCCCUGCGACACCA